rnacentral:rRNA from 1 species
GACAGAGGUGGCAAGCGUUGUUCGGAUUCAUUGGGCGUAAAGAGCGCGCAGGCGGCUUGGUAAGUCGGAUGUGAAAUCCCGAGGCUCAACCGCGGGCCUGCAGCCGAUACGGGCAGGCUGGAGUUCGGUAGGGGAGACUGGAAUUCCUGGUGUAGCGGUGAAAUGCGCAGAUAUCAGGAGGAACACCGAUGGCGAAGGCAGGUCUCUGGGCCGAUACUGACGCUGAGGAGCGAAAGCGUGGGGAGCGAACAGG